UUCUAGGAGUCCCAAGUGAAAGUCUUGGGGAUUUAUUAGGGUCCCUAUUCAGAGGUAAGCCCUGAAUGCUGCAUUUUUCUCUUCUGUAUUAUGUGACUGCUGAUAACUGCAUUUAAGUCUUCACUUCUUUACUAUGGGAUUCUGUAUGGCUUACCUGUACCUUCCCAGCUUAUGAAUUGAUUUAAUUAUUCAUUUGACAGAGAAAGAAAGAUCAAGAAAGCAGUGGGGAGGGGCAGCAGGAGAAGGAGAAGCAGGCUCCUGCUGAUCAAGUAGCCCACUGGGCCUUGAUCCCAGGACCUGAGAUCAUGACCUGAGCCAAGGCAGGACCCCACUGGCUGCACACAAAAGAGACUGAGGGAACAGAGGGAGUGCCGAGAGAGCCCUCGCCUGAUGCCUCAUGAAAGGCCUGACAAAAUUUGAUGACGAAGGGAGAACACCCGGGGAAGCACAGGGGCAAGAAAUCUAUUUGCACCUUGAUUCCUGCAUGGAGAUGAUGCGGAUGACUCUUACCAGACAAGGCCACG